rnacentral:rRNA from 1 species
GACGAACGCUGGCGGCGUGCUUAACACAUGCAAGUCGAACGGAAAUGCCCUGCUUUUGUGGGGUGCUCGAGUGGCGAACGGGUGAUUAACACGUGAGUAACCUGCCCUUGACUUUGGGAUAACUUCAGGAACCUGGGGCUAAUACCGGAUAGGAGCUCCUGCUGCAUGUUGGGGUUUGGAAAGUUUCGGCGGUUGGGGAUGGACUCUCGGCUUAUCAGCUUGUUGGUGGGGUAGUGGCUUACCAAGGCGUUGACGGGUAGCCGGCCUGAGAGGGUUACCGGCCAAAUAGGGAAUGAGAAACGGCCCAGAAUCCUACGGGAAGCAGGAGUGGGGAAUAAUGCACAAUGGGCGGAAGACUGAUGCAGAAACGCCGCGUGCGGGAUAACGGGCUUCGGGUUGUAAACCGCUUUCGCCUGUGACGAAGCGUGAGUGACGGUAAUGGGUAAAGAAGCACCGGCUAACUACGUG